GAUGAACGCUAGCUACAGGCUUAACACAUGCAAGUCGAGGGACCGGCGCACGGGUGAGUCACACGUAUCCAACCUGCCCUUUACUCGGGGAUAGCCUUCCGGAAGAAAGAUUAAUACCCGCUAUAAAGGAUGGGGAUGCGUUCCCUUAGGUUGUUGGUGAGGUAAUGGCCCACCAAGCCUUCGAUGGGUAGGGGUUCGGAGAGGAAGGUCCCCACGAUUGGAACUGAGACACGUGCGAAACUCCUACGGAAGGCAGCAGUGAUGAAGAUUGGUUAAUGGGCGGUAGCCUGAACCAGCCAAGUAGCGUGAAUGAUGAAGGCUUAUGGGUCAUAAACUGCUUAUAUAUAAGAAUAGGUAUUAUAUGAAUAAGGAUCGGCUAACUCCGUGCCAGCAGCCGCGGUAAUAC
rnacentral:rRNA from 1 species